UAAAUCCCAAAUCCCCUGAACCUUGCAGCUGUGUCACCACUGCUGGAGUGACAAGCCAGGUUCGUAUCACUUCAUGCAGACAUUCCUCAAAGCAGCUGAAAUGAGCUGUCCUCCAAAAUUAAAGACAGCAAGACGAAUUUAACUAUAACUGAAGGCAAGGAAAUUGAGCUUUGCCUUGUACUGAUAAAUUGUAAGCUUACCAGUGAAGGCAGGAACCUGCAAUAAAAAUACACUGUACACGGAACGAGCCUGCGCAUCGAGGAAUCCCUUGUCUCCCGUGGGAAAAGCUCUCGGCUUCUCCGCGGCCCCUGCGGAGCCAGAACAUCUGUACGUCCCAGAUGUUACGCAGGAUGCUUCAGGCUGCUGGAGCCGCCGCAGUUGCUGGUAGCCUUGGAGAAGGGAUUUGUGAACAUGGUUUCACUGAAGAAGCUGUAGCCGAGGGCAUCAUAUGGCAGAAGCAAGGCUAACCUGAGUGCUGGUUUCUUACGCCACCCGGCUGCUGCUGGUUGCUGCCUUGUACCGAUGAACUCCGUUGGGUGCUCAGAAGUUGGAGGAUCUGAACAAAGCACACACCUGCCUGUUGCCUCCAAAGGGAUGCUGUCUGCUGGGCCAACCCUUAACAACAGGUCAAUUUAUAUUAA